UACGUAGGGUGCAAGCGUUGUCCGGAAUCAUUGGGCGUAAAGCGCGUGUAGGCGGUCCGGUAAGUCCGCUGUGAAAGUCGGGGGCUCAACCCUCGAAUGCCGGUGGAAACUGUCGGGCUAGAGUACGGAAGAGGCGAGUGGAAUUCCUGGUGUAGCGGUGAAAUGCGCAGAUAUCAGGAGGAACACCAAUUGCGAAGGCAGCUCGCUGGGACGUUACUGACGCUGAGACGCGAAAGCGUGGGGAGCAAACAGG
rnacentral:rRNA from 1 species